rnacentral:tRNA from 1 species
GCCGGUGAUGCGCGACGUCUUCUCGCGCAUCGGGCCGGAAACCCGCCUGCCCGGCCCGCCGCCGGGCAUCCUCGCCGUGCCGAACGGCGCGCUGCCGCC